rnacentral:rRNA from 1 species
AUUGAACGCUGGCGGCAGGCCUAACACAUGCAAGUCGAGCGGAUGAAGGGAGCUUGCUCCUGGAUUCAGCGGCGGACGGGUGAGUAAUGCCUAGGAAUCUGCCUGGUAGUGGGGGAUAACGUCCGGAAACGGGCGCUAAUACCGCAUACGUCCUGAGGGAGAAAGUGGGGGAUCUUCGGACCUCACGCUAUCAGAUGAGCCUAGGUCGGAUUAGCUAGUUGGUGGGGUAAAGGCCUACCAAGGCGACGAUCCGUAACUGGUCUGAGAGGAUGAUCAGUCACACUGGAACUGAGACACGGUCCAGACUCCUACGGGAGGCAGCAGUGGGGAAUAUUGGACAAUGGGCGAAAGCCUGAUCCAGCCAUGCCGCGUGUGUGAAGAAGGUCUUCGGAUUGUAAAGCACUUUAAGUUGGGAGGAAGGGCAGUAAGUUAAUACCUUGCUGCUUUGACGUUACCAACAGAAUAAGCACCGGCUAACUACGUG